GAUACCCUUCCUACAAAUCAAACAAAUUAUCAUAAGACAAUCAAACCUAGGGAUCUG
rnacentral:other from 1 species